CGGGAGGCAGCAGUGGGGAAUAUUGUGCAAUGGGGGAAACCCUGACACAGCGACGCCGCGUGAGUGAAGAAGGCCUUCGGGUCGUAAAGCUCAAUAGUAUGGGAAGAAAGAAAUGACGGUACCAUAC
rnacentral:rRNA from 1 species